rnacentral:rRNA from 1 species
CAGUAGCCGCGGUAAUACGAAGGGUGCAAGCGUUAAUCGGAAUUACUGGGCGUAAAGCGUGCGUAGGCGGUGAGUUAAGUCUGCUGUGAAAUCCCCGGGCUCAACCUGGGAAUGGCAGUGGAUACUGGCUCGCUAGAGUGUGUCAGAGGAUGGUGGAAUUCCCGGUGUAGCGGUGAAAUGCGUAGAGAUCGGGAGGAACAUCAGUGGCGAAGGCGGCCAUCUGGGACAACACUGACGCUGAGACACGAAAGCGUGGGGAGCAAACAGGAUUAGAGACCCGUGUAGUCCCUGUCUCUUAUAU